rnacentral:rRNA from 1 species
AACGAACGCUGGCGGCAUGCCUUACACAUGCAAGUCGAACGGCAGCACGGGAGCUUGCUCCUGGUGGCGAGUGGCGAACGGGUGAGUAAUGCAUCGGAACGUGCCCUGAAGUGGGGGAUAACGUAGCGAAAGUUACGCUAAUACCGCAUAUUCUGUGAGCAGGAAAGCAGGGGAUCUUCGGACCUUGCGCUUUUGGAGCGGCCGAUGUCGGAUUAGCUAGUUGGUGGGGUAAAGGCCCACCAAGGCGACGAUCCGUAGCGGGUCUGAGAGGAUGAUCCGCCACACUGGAACUGAGACACGGUCCAGACUCCUACGGGAGGCAGCAGUGGGGAAUUUUGGACAAUGGGCGCAAGCCUGAUCCAGCCAUGCCGCGUGAGUGAAGAAGGCCU